rnacentral:rRNA from 1 species
UACCAGCACCCCGAGUGGUCGGGACGUUUAUUGGGCCUAAAGCAUCCGUAGCCGGUUCUGCAAGUCUUCCGUUAAAUCCACCUGCUUAACAGAUGGGCCGCGGAAGAUACUAUAGAGCUAGGAGGCGGGAGAGGCAAGCGGUACUCGAUGGGUAGGGGUAAAAUCCGUUGAUCCAUUGAAGACCACCGGUGGCGAAGGCGGCGUCCUGGACCAACACUGACACUGAGGAGCGAAAGCCAGGGGAGCAAACGGG